rnacentral:rRNA from 1 species
AAAUUGAAGAGUUUGAUCAUGGCUCAGAUUGAACGCUGGCGGCAGGCCUAACACAUGCAAGUCGAACGGUAACAGGAAGCAGCUUGCUGCUUUGCUGACGAGUGGCGGACGGGUGAGUAAUGUCUGGGAAACUGCCUGAUGGAGGGGGAUAACUACUGGAAACGGUAGCUAAUACCGCAUAAUGUCGCAGGACCAAAGAGGGGGACCUUCGGGCCUCUUGCCAUCAGAUGUGCCCAGAUGGGAUUAGCUUGUUGGUGAGGUAA